rnacentral:rRNA from 1 species
CCUACGGGUGGCAGCAGUGAGGAAUAUUGGUCAAUGGGAGGAAUCCUGAACCAGCCAUGCCGCGUGCAGGACGACGGCUCUACGAGUUGUAAACUGCUUUUGUACCGGGGUAAAAUGCUCUACGAGUAGGGUUUUGAAAGUACGGUACGAAUAAGGAUCGGCUAACUCCGUGCCAGCAGCCGCGGUAAUACGGAGGAUCCGAGCGUUAUCCGGAUUCAUUGGGUUUAAGGGGUGCGUAGGCGGAAUGCCAAGUCAGCGGUAAAAUCGCGGGGCUCAACCUCGCUCCGCCGUUGAAACUGGCGUUCUUGAGUGGGCGAGAAGUAUGCGGAAUGCGUGGUGUAGCGGUGAAAUGCAUAGAUAUCACGCAGAACUCCGAUUGCGAAGGCAGCAUACCGGCGCCCAACUGACGCUGAAGCACGAAAGCGUGGGUAUCGAACAGGAUUAGAUACCCCUGUAGUC